rnacentral:rRNA from 1 species
AGCGAACGUUAGCGGCGCGCCUAACACAUGCAAGUCGAGCGAGAAUUGGGGCUUCGGCUCCAUAGUAGAGCGGCGCACGGGUGAGUAACGCGUAGGUAAUCUACCCUUGGGCGGGGGACAACCUUCCGAAAGGAGGGCUAAUACCACAUAAGACCACGGCACCUUCGGGUGCUGAGGCAAAAGAUGGCCUCUGCAUGCAAGCUAUCACCUGGGUAUGAGCCUGCGGCCCAUCAGCUAGUUGGUGGGGUAAUGGCCUACCAAGGCUUAGACGGGUAGCCGGUCUGAGAGGAUGAUCCGCCACACUGGGACUGGGACACGGCCCAGACUCCUACGGGAGGCAGCAGUGGGGAAUAUUGGGCAAUGGGGGGAACCCUGAUCCAGCCAUGCCGCGUGUGUGAAGAAGGCCUUAUGGUUGUAAAGCACUUUAAGCGAGGAGGAGGCUACUCUAGUUAAUACCUAGGGAUAGUGGACGUUACUCGCAGAAUAAGCACCGGCUAACUCUGUGCCAGCAGCCGCAGUAA